rnacentral:rRNA from 1 species
AGAGUUUGAUCAUGGCUCAGGAUGAACGCUAGCUACAGGCUUAACACAUGCAAGUCGAGGGGAAACGAUAUUGGAAGCUUGCUUCCGAUAGGCGUCGACCGGCGCACGGGUGAGUAACGCGUAUCCAACCUGCCCACCACUUGGGGAUAACCUUGCGAAAGUAAGACUAAUACCCAAUGAUAUCUCUAGAAGACAUCUGAAAGAGAUUAAAGAUUUAUCGGUGAUGGAUGGGGAGUGCGUCUGAUUAGCUUGUUGGCGGGGUAACGGGCCCACCAAGGCAACGAUCAGUAGGGGUUCGUGAGAGGAAGGUCCCCCACCAUUGGAACUGAGACACGGUCCAAACUCAUACGGGAGGCAGCA